rnacentral:snRNA from 1 species
AUAUUUACCUGGCAGGAGAGAUACCAUGAUCAUGAAGAUGGUUUUCCCAGGGCAAGGCUUAUCCGUUGCACUCCAGAUGUGCUGACCCCUGUGAUUUCCCCAAAUGUGGGAAACUUGACAGCAUAAUUUGUGGUAGUGGGGGACUGUGUUUGUACUCUUCCUGA